rnacentral:tRNA from 1 species
GCGGGUUUCCGGAUAGACGCGGAUAACGCCGGAUUGAAGUCUGAAGAACCUUGCCAAGGUUGGGGUCGAGAGUUCGAAUCUCUUCGCCCGCUCCA